ACAUGUGUGAUACACAAUAAUUAGAAUAAAUAUCAGUUUUUAGUUCAUCGUUUGAGCGUUUUUUCAAAAAUAUCUCAUCAUGAAGAUAAUUAUAAAAUAAUACCAAUUGUUUCAUUUUUUUGUGACCCGUAAAAAUAAUACGACUAUCGGCAAUUGACGUGUUUCGGCCAAGCGCCAUGUUGACAGUUACGUGGAAUUAAAAAAAANAAAAACUAAAGAAAAUCCACCUGCUAAAAAACACAUCUGUAAAAUUAAAAUAAAAUUAUUUUCUUCCUUGGAACCUUAUUCUAAUUCUUCCAUCAUUCAGAUUCAACGUCCUGCCCCAUACCAUAAAGCAUCAUGAA
rnacentral:lncRNA from 1 species